AUCUCCAAUGUCCACUUCAGUAAUUUUUUUAUCUUUUGGAAUCUUCUAAUGUCAUUACUCUCUUUUCUUAUGACAACCUGUCUUCUUCUGCUUUCUUUUCCUCAGCUUUUCUCCUGCAUAAUGUUCAAUCUAUUUUUCAAAUUAAUCAUAAUGUAACCUUUAUCUCUCUCCCUUCUGUACCUGGUAAAAAAGCAGGAUCGAUUAUGAAUAAACCACAAUUAAGUCUAUUCCUUUGUUGAAUAAGGCAUAUCUCAUAUACCUCACAAAUCUAGAGUAGAAGAAUACGGCGUUAAUGAAGUAAUUGCGGUGGGGAGAACUGAGAAGCAAGGACUGUUGUGGUCGGAAAAAAUUGUGGUGAUGAUGAAGAAGACGAUGAAAGAUGAGAACACAAUCAAUUAGAGAAAGGGGUAAAAUCGUCAUUUUUUAUUUCAACAAGUACUUAUUUUUAUAAGCCCAUUAAAAUGUUCUUUUUCUCUAGUUUUUGGCCCAAUAAGUACCCAAUUCUAUAAUACCCCCUAAAAAAGCAUGUGUUUCAUUUAUGUUUUAAAAACACGAAAUAAAAACUAAAAACUGACAGUUCCUUAUCCCCAUGCAUCUAAAAGAUAGUCUCUUUUUUUUUAUUACUAUCCGUUACUUAUAUGGUUCUAUCUGUCUAGAAAUUUGGUAAUACUAAUCAACUAAAGGGUGUGUGCAAAAAAAAAAAAAAAAAUCAACGAAAGGGUGUGUCUAGUUAAAGUGAAAUAUAUAGUUGUG
rnacentral:sRNA from 1 species